ensembl:lncRNA
UUUCACCUGAUAGCCGUUUAUUGAGCUCCUGCCCUGUGCCGGUCACCGUGCAGGCUCUGGGGACAUAGCCGUGAGCAAAGUAGUCCAAGUCUCUGCCCAGGCUUCCUGCACCUGGAGCGUGGACUGAGGACAGCCCAGGAGACAGGUGAGUGUGAGACUGAGACCCCUGGUUCACCUGGGGCGCUCUGCAUCCCAUUUACACUUCAGCACCGUCAGGGGCCCCCCUUAGGAAGCCCCUGGGUUGCAAACCACCUGUCUGCACAGUCAGCCACCCCUGGCCUCGCUAGCCCCUCCCGAAACCGACACUUCUCUCCUCGACCCCUGUGGACCUGCAGGUAGCGGGGGAGGAAGAGGAAGCAAGAAGCAGACGGGAGGCUGCGGUUUGGACACGUCUCCUGUGGCUGUGACUUUUCCCUUAUGUCCUGCAGGGCCUGCGUGUUGCCGCUUUACCUCACCGUGACAUUCCACCAAAACAGGGGGCACUUGAACUCGCCCAUGUCCUUUUGAGAUAAAGCCCCACGUUCCUGGGCGGGUUACCCAGCUCUCAUUUCAGUCAUUCACACUUCAGUAUCUUUUAACACCAUCAGAUUAUUUUCCAAUUAUUAUAUGACUGAGGUCAGCCACACCGAGGGGGUAUUAUUGACUCGGGGACUUGAGAAGGCAGAGCCCUGUGGGGAGGGCCUUGGCUCAGCCUCCGUGGGAUCUGGAAUGGAACAAGGGCCUGGAAGCCCACAGAGGACCUUCCUGGAGCUUCAUGACUGUCCAUUUGUUUACAAACGUUAGGAGACACAGCCCCUUUGCCUGGGGGACUGCCUGGGAGUUCUGUCAGUGGCUGUGGGCUGCCACUUCGCUUGCAACCUCGGAACAAUCAGAGAAAUCGUCCUUUCACGGGGUGGGUGUGUGCAGGGCUCGGUGGAAUCAGCAGUCACGCCAGAGCAUUUGGGGCUUCCCAGGUGGCUCAGUGGUAAACAAUCCCCCGGCCAACGCAGGAGAUGCAGGUUUGAUCCCUGGAUCAGGAAGAUCCCCCCGGAGUAGGAAAUGGCAACCCGCUCCAGUAUUCUUGCCUUAGAGAAUCCCAUGGACAGAGAAGCCUGGCGGGCUACAGUCCAAGAGGUCACACAGAGUCGGGCACACCAGGGCAUUUGAUCGCAGACAGCCGUCUCUACCAACACCCCUCCCCGCCGACCUGCCACAGUGCCCACAUUGCCACCAUCUGCGUCACCCCGGGGAAAGGAGGAGGAAGCUUUGAAAGCUUCUGUCCAAGUGCCGUCCGUAGGUUAGUUACAAGAGAAUGGGCGAUUUGGACUUGCCGUGUUUUCCGAGUUUCGCAUAGUGAGUGUGUGUUGCUGCUUGGGUUUUACUCCGCUCUCUGGGGUGGUCUAGUGAGCCUCGGGCAUGUCUGUCCAUUGUAGAAGCUCUCUGAUCAGAUUAGCCUCAGCAGAUGACAGGGUCUGGGGAGCUGGGAAAUGGGCAGGUAAGUUCAG